CGGGGUUGCUGAAUUAGAGAUCGGCACCCUUUCAUUUUUUUAUCACUGGAGUACAAAAUGUCUCUAAGCGUUGAAGCUAAAGCAAAAAUCGUUUCUGAGUUUGGUCGUGGCGAA
rfam:Kluyvera intermedia strain CAV1151, complete genome.